GACUUUAUUCUGAGCGACUGACGUUUGUUUGGGACCCGAUCGCCGCGUCACACAUGAGAAACAAUGUCUGAAUAUGUGUGCCAGUUAGCCUUGGCUGAACCAACCAAGGUGACACUCACCAACCCAAACACGGCUCAAACCGUUUUAUCUGCCGACAUUUUAUCUGUCCUGACUCCAGCCGACAGUUGUGUGGAUGUGGGCAGGUCAUUUGAGCUGGGCCUCCCAGGAUGGCGCUCCGUGGUGCUGGCUCAUUCAAGCACCCAAGUCAGCGGAUGGUGAGUUGCCUCACUUAUGUCUGGCGCUGGCUGAGGGGCCGGAGGCACGAGCUGCUCAUCGCCCUGCAGGGCACCCUGUUCCUGUGGUGCCACACGGUCACAGAGUUCCCAAGAGCAGCAGCAGAGACGCCUCGUGCAAAUGCGCUUUCUUAGCCUCGGCUGAUGUCACACUGGCUGAUGCUUCCCUGGCCAAAGGCGAGCCCAUGGCCAAGCCCAGAUCCAGGGCUCGGUGUCCUGAACUCCACCUCCUGAGGCGGGGACAGGGGCGGCAUGGACACAUGGCAAAGGGAUGCGAAUAUAGGCACAGAAAUGAGGUUAUUGGAGCUGCUCAAAACUACAUGGAAGAAGAAACGAAGUGGGCUCGGGAAAUGCUGGAAAAGCAGCACUCCAUUCAUCACAGCACAUGCGGAAGAGACCAGCUCUAUGUGACAUUGCCAGAAUUUCCAUCACAGGAAGAAGCUUUUGAAAAUCAAACUGACAGAUGAGAGGGUGAAAUCCACUGAGUGGGCCGAGGAGAACAGCUGUGUUUGAGAGUCAGCUCAGCGAUGUGAAUGAGGCCAGGAGGAGCCAUGAAGACGGCAGUGCCUGUGGGCCCGGAUAAAUGAUGGCACUGAGCAACUGGCAGGACUGUGGGGAUGGGAGGGGUCCCUAGGCCCCACCCCUCUCUGCUCCUGUCUGUGUAAUUAACAGCCUGCCUCUGUCAGGGGCUCAGCCUUCAGUGCUCUCUGCUGUGGCUCUGGCCAGCGAGGCCUGGAGGGGUGGCUCCUUCACCUGCCCUCUCCUAGUUUUUCCUGUGCCUGCCCGUGAGCCAGGAGAUGCAUUCACAGCUGCCGUUUUUGAUGUCUUCCUUUAAAAAGAGGCAUUCCUCUGAUUGCCUGGGGUCCUGUGGCUUACUGAAUAAGAUUCAGCGUGGGGAACCGCACACUAUUCCUGAGAAGCUCAGUUCCAAAAGGAAAAGGAAAAUGCUGACUGGGAUUCCCUGAUAGGCGUUGAUUUGCUUAACUGCUGUCUCCAUCCACUGAUAACUGAAGCUUUUAGAAAGGCAUCCUCUGCAGCCCAGCACCAGCUUUUCUGCCCGCUGUGUGCCCUGAGAGGUGGCCCGUGCCACAGAAGCAGACACCAUUGUGGCUGGGUCCAGUGGGGUCUGGCUAACAGGCUGGAUGGGGGGCAACAGCGGGAAGAGGAGGACUCAGCUCCUCCUGUUAGGGCUCCGUCGGGUGUUUGUUGGGUUUUUCUGCUGGCAGGUGCAGCUCUGGUCACCACCAAACCUUCCCAAACUAUGGGGCUUCCGGCCGGGUGCGGUGGCUCAGGCCUGUAAUUCCAGCACUAUGGGAGCCCAAGGUGGGCAGAUCACCUUUUGGGAGCCCAAGGUUGCGAGUUCGAGACCAGCCUGACCAAUAUGGAGAAACCCUCAUCUCCACUAAAAAUACAAAAUUAGCCAGGCGUGGUGGUGCAUGCCUUUAAUCCCAGCUAGUUGGGAGGCUGAGGCAGGAGAACUGCUUCAACCCAGGAGGCAGAGGUUGCAGCAAAUUGAGAUCAUGCCAUUGCACUCCAGCCUGGGCGACAAGAGCAAUACUCCGUCUCAAAAGAAAACAAACAAACAAAAACUAUGGGGCUGCCCUCUGGGGCCAUGGGCGAGACUCCUCCCCACUUGCCGAAGCCCUGAGGUGGCCUGCUGAGGUAGCCCUGGGCUAGUGGACUAAACUUCACCGGUGUUCCUAAACCCAGCCCCCAUCCUGGUAAAAUGUCCCUUCAUCCUAAGGUCCUUAAUGUCAGCCGUUCACUGCAGCAUCCUGACUCAUGCACAGUUGAGAGACAGUCAGAAGCCAGCAACACGAGGGUGAUUGUAACAGACCAAGACUAAGGAGUGCACAGAAUACUCAGGGACCCCAGUCCUGUACAGGUGCUGAAGGAAGGCCAGGGAGUGCACACUGACGCUCCGUAGGGAAACACAUUAGGAUUGGAGGGAGAUCUCCCACUGGAGUCUUUUUGUCACACGGUUCUCGCAGUGCUUCCCUCUAUCCACGGUUCCAAAAGAUCUUCAGUGGGGAGAAUUCGUGUGUGUGUGUGUGUGUGCGCGCGCGCGUGUGUGUAUGUGUGUGUGCGUGUGCGUUUAUGUGUGUAUGUGUGUGUGUGCGCACGCGUGUGUAUGUGUGUGUGUGCGCGCGCAUGUGUGUAUGUGUGUGCGCGCGCGUGUGUGUAUGUGUGUGCGUGUGCGUUUAUGUGUGUAUGUGUGUGUGUGUGUGUGUGUGCGUGGAUGCCUUACUACUUCUGGAAACAACCUUUUAACCCACUGUUUUCAUCUAUACACAUAUCCCCUGUUUCAUGGCUAGGACUUGGUAGGAUUAGGCAGAUAUGGGCUAAAGGUAACUUCAGUCAGACCCGGUUUAAUUAUAAAAUGACAGAGUAAAAAUAGACCCAAUAUGUUAAGGGACAUGCCUUGAGCUUAUCCAGCCUGAACAACGUUAAUGGUAAGUAGAAACAAGCAAAGGAAGAAAACCUUUUGAAGUAGCGACAGAGGGGAGGGGUGGGUGUUGGCUCCUACUGAGUUGAGGACAGAGCCGUUCCUCUCACGGAUGUGCUUCUCCCUGGAGGUGGGGUGGGGUGCAUGCAGUGUGUGCGGGGUGGGUCCCACACUGGUGCCAGGACUGCCAGAGUGUGUGUUGGUGGGGAAGAGAAGGAAGGGAGGGCGGCUCUAGUGUCCACUGUGCUGAUUUUUUUGUGGACAUGGAAAUGAGAAGGCAGAGAAGAUGUCUCGGUCUUUUGUAGGAUCGCUCACCCUCUCCUGGGUAGUUAGGGUCAGCCACACCACAUCCCGAUCCUACCAGGAGCUUGGAAUGCCCAGAAGGCUGGUGGCGACACGGUGCUGGACACUCCACCACGCCCGGCUGCUGCGCCUGGGGCAGUGGAUCCACAGAGCGGCAGAAGAUGUGGUGAGAAGAGACCCUGGGGAAGCCACAGAAGCAGAAGCGCCUCCCUCCUCACUCCCUGCACACCCACCCCUAAGCUGGGAGCGCCUAACAUGCAGCCAGAAAGAAAAAUGUAGAAGGCCGGUUCACAUCUACUGCCUAGAGAGCAAAAUCCUCAGUGGUGUUGGUUUCGCGUAUGUGCCCAUGUUCACUUCCUAGGGCUGCUGAAACGAACCGCCUGGCUGAAAACUGCAGAAAUUCAUGUCUCAUCGCCCUGGAGGCUGGACUUCUAUGAUCAAGGUGAUGUCAAGGCCAGGCUCUCUGUGAGGCUCGCGGGUAGAAGCUGUCCUGACUCUUCCUGGUUUCCGGUGGGGCAGACGGUGCCCGCGGACCCUCCUGCAGGCUUGCAGAUGCCUGGCUGCGACCUCCGCCUUCACUGCACACUGGGGUUCUAGUGUGACUCGGCCUUCACGCGGCGUCUCCCUCUUUGUAAGGACGACAGUUGUGCUGGAUGAGGGGCCCUCAUUCCAAUGCGACCUCGUUCUAAUUAAUCACACCCGCAAGGACUUUAGUUCCAAAUGAGGUGACAUUAUGAGGUCCUGGGGGUUAGGACUUCAACAUCGUUUUUGGAGAAAACAACUGACCUUUAACAAUGCCCAAGGGAAAUGGUUUCGUUUUUAGCAAGUGGACGUUUAGAGUUCGCUACUCAAGGCGUUUUUCUCAAGGAUUUCUAACGGUCGCUCAUAGUAUAGGUGGCAUUUAUUUUUCACCAUAAUGAUUUUUGAGAUGUCAAAGCCUUGGCCCGACGACAUGGGUGAGUGUGUUUUCCCUGUGAGAAAGGAUCCUGUGCUGCUUUCAAAUGUCUGCAGGUUUAUUUUUGGCUGGACAGGAAACGUAUCUUACGCUCAUGUUCAUUUGUAGGCUGCCCUUUUUUGGAGGGAUGCUAUUGUUAGAAAAGCACGUUCCGUGUGGAGAUGAGUUUGGACUGAGCACCACGCAAGUCUAAGUUAUAAUUAUACUACUCUCUGCUAUAGAUUUUCCAAAAUAAUCUUUCUGCUCAUCAGAAUGUGAAACCUUUCAAAUAAUGGCCCCGUUUGCUAUUCGCAGUUCCCCAGCACAGCAGCUGCCUUGCAUUUGUCUUUAAGUGAAGGGUCGAGAGGUUUCGAUUUAACCCGGGGUUGAACUGAAGGUAGCGUGUCCAUGUAGUCAGAUGUAAAGUGAAAGAUAAAAAUAUAUAAAAGUGCUAUGUCGUGACUACAUGAUACCAGAGCCAUUCUUAUUUGUUAUGACUAAACUUCCAGUCGUUUCAAAGGGAGGGAAACAGUUGAAUCCAGACCUUACCUAAAUUUUUCAUUGUUUAAGCAAAGGGCUCUGUGACUGGGGGAAGUUUAACUCCUAACUAGGGACCUUUCCCUCAGACAAGCUGCUCGUAUUUGUCGCUGGCACCAGGGAUAAGCUAGUGUUUCAAAAGAGAGCAAGGUAAUUCCAUCCUAAUGCUGUAAUGAGGGUGACAGUGAGGUAUAGGAAACGGUGGGACAUUCCACCUAAAAACAACCAUCACGGUUAUAUUGGCAGGUGGCUGUGAUCUCCAUCUCCAAAGGGGAACCUUCCGGGGGAGGUUCUUUGGCCUUCCUUGGUGGGAUUGCCUGGGAAAAGUGAUCAUUUCACGGAAUGGUGUCUGUCUCUCCAUCCUCUUCUUUGAGAGACUCCUGAAUGAAUAAAGCUAUCACUCUCACACCCCAAACCAACACUUCAACCCUCUGUUGAGAUACGAUUUAAAGGUGCGUGAGGAUGGAUUCUAUUUUUCCCCGACCAAACAUGCUGAGUCUCAACAAAUAGCCUAGAUUUCUUUCUGCUGUGGCUGAGUGAUGAUUACAAACACCCCAGCCUUUCACGUUGGUAAGGGCCACCCUCAGGUUCACUAGCACAUCGGCUGGUGACCACUGAUGAAAGUGCCUGCUGUGAGCUGGGCGCAUAUCACCCGUGUGGCACGUCCCACCUCAUUUAACCCUUGCUACAACAAACAGCCAGAUCGUGCUCCUUUACAGGCGUACUGUGUCGCCUUUACAGAGAGGUAAGUAACGUGGUUGCAUGGAGGUCAGCAGGAUCAACUGUGCAGGGGCUUUGACCAUCCAUCUCUUUGCUUUAGGCCGAAGAUCACUUGCAGGUGAAUCACCUGCCCCCUUCCUUGGGCUUUCUGGAGGGAUGGACAGAGGUACAGUAUUGGGACUAGCGCUUCUCUCUGUGCAGACAGCCCACUUCCCAUUUUAGGAAGGGAGUUAUCUGUACUAGAGAGACUCCCAUGAAUCAAGGAGCAGCUCAAAGCGAGCUUUCGUGUACUUCCAAGGGUCUACGAAUCUUCCAGCACUGCUUCAGGUCUCUGCUCGCCUCCCCAUCCCUGGCUCUGAGAGAACCCUGAGGGUCUCACUUCCCUUGCUCCUGGACUUGCAACUAGGAAUAUGUUUAAAAAGUCUCCUCUAGAGGGGUGCAAUUCCAGCGAAGCCCAUCAUCCAUACAAACCUCUGUGCCUUGGGCACACCUCGUUCCUUGGAGGGUUAUGUAGGGUUUGUUGAUGUUGUAUUGGAUGGCCCAUGUGAUUUGGAAAGACGGACUCCGAGGGUGAAAGCAGGAUGUAUCGUUCCACAUUUCCAUGUGAUGUGGAAAGACGGACUCCGAGGGUGAAAGCAGGAUGUAUCCUUCCACAUUUCCAUGUGAUGUGGAAAGACGGACUCCAAGGGUGAAAGCAGGAUGUAUCCUUCCACAUUUUAAUUGCUCCCAAGAACGAUCAGAUAAUUGCCUUCCUUUGAAGCAUCCAUGAGAAUGUGCGAAGUGUCCCAGCAAAACAAAAGAGAGUCUCUGAGCAGUUUCUAUUCUUGUCUGGCUCUGUUGACAGCGAUUGAAUGCUCUGGGGAAGAGAAAAGGCUGGCAGGGAGCCUGGGCCCAGAGGAACGUGAGGAGAGCCGGGCCCCCUCCGAGAGACGCUAGUGCGCUGUGCUCAUUAGAAGGAGAAUGUGCCAUUUGUGCGGCCUUCUGCGCACUGCCCCUCCUCCAGGGAGGACUUGUUGAAGGCAUGAGAAACUAUGAAGCCUGAGCCUGGGGCUGGCAGCUGCAACUGCACGGGAGAGCCUGCCUCCGGGAGCCAGGGCCGGCCGACCUGAGCACACACUUCCUUCCUAGCCUGUUACAAACGUUCCUGGGAGAUGGGCAAUUCUAAAAGGCCUGGCUGGCUUUAAAUGGAGACUGUGAAAGGCUAAAGCACUUUUGUGAAGUCAGAUGUGACUCAUCUCCUGCCUAUCCUUAGGACCUGCUGGUCCAAACAAGUGGAUGCAUUGGUGAGAAAAGAAAAGGAAAAGGAAAAGGAAAAGAAAAUUCAAUCUCAGCAUUUGCUUUUGUGGUGGUUUCUAUGCUUGAUUGUCAAAAUUCCUGGGGAGAAUCGUCAAAGCAACAUUUUCUGGUGUGA